rnacentral:lncRNA from 1 species
UGCAGCUAUAGAUUAUUGUUGCAAUUAUAAAACUAUACAACAACUAAUCAAUACGUUUUUCUGUUACUUGGCACUCUUUUCCUGAUGGAGACAAAUUUGUAUACCCUAAAAAAUUCUUUAGAAAUCUUCCAGGGACCCAAAACAUCGAGUGAUCAGGUAGCACGAGUUGUAGGCAACAAUUCUCACAGGUGUUAAUACAGGUGUGUCUUGAGACUUUGGCUCGGCCACAAAAUGCUUGACAAACGCCAGAUAGAUGCCAGAUGAACAGGGAAAUCUGCUUCAGGUUCAACUGCAGAUGCCACUUCUCGCUCAGAGGACUCCGUGGCCAAGACCAGUGGGAUCAUCCCUGCUGCAGUUGCUGCCACGCUGUUCAUCGCCUUCAUACUUGCUCUCUACACUGUCCUCUGGAGGUGCAUGGUGUCGCCACCACAGCGAAAGCACAGCAGGGUGAGAAUGAGAGGACAACCGAGGGUUUCUGUGUGAAGACUGGAAUCUGUUCAGCAGCUCGUUUUUUUGGGUCUUAG